AUGGCGUCGAGCACCGGGCAAGCAGCUCCUAUUCCCGCCCCACCCGUUGUCGCAACAGCUGCUCCUCCGCCGGCAGCCACCAUGGAGCCCAAGAUGGACGCCGGGCUGCUAGCACUGGCCCGCUCUGGCUCUUACGAAGAUCUGGAAUCACUCCUCAACGGGAAGCCAGCCGCGUACACCCUCGGAAGCUCGGCGAGGCAGCCACCUCCUCUCUACGCGCUCACCGUUGGAGGCGCCACCCUUCUCCACGUGGUGGCCGCCGUCUACGGCGAUUCUGAGGACUCCACCAAGAAGGCCAGGCUCGUCUACGACAAGGCACCAAGCCUCCUCUUCGUGCAAAACAACGAUGGAGAUACGCCCCUGCACUGUGCUGCACGGGCGGGCAACUUCGGAAUGGUGUCUCGUCUCGUUGAUCUCGCCAAUGGUCAGGGUGUUAACAAUGCUAAGGGUCUGCUGGAAACACAAAACAAGAUCCAUGAGACAGCCUUGCACCAGGCCGUCCGCUCUAGGAACAAUGAUAUGGUCAAGUUGUUCAUGGAGGAGAACCCACAACUGGCCCGUUUUCCUGAACAAGGUACUUCGCCGUUGUACUUGGCCAUCUUACUGAAGAAUAAGAUCAUCGCAAAAACACUCUAUGAGAUGAGCGGCGGGGUUCUUUCAUAUUCGGGACCAAAUGGACAAAAUGCGUUGCAUGUUGCUGUUCAGCGGAGCCAAGAUCUUACAAAGAUGCUGUUAGAGUGGAACAGCGACCUUUUGUUACAAAGGGAUAAAAAUGGAAGUACACCUCUUCACUUUGCGAUUGUAGAUAUUCUAUGGCAAAUGCGUUCACAAGUAUUGCCAAGCCUUCCAGAUGCAAUGUAUCAACAGGAUCACAAUGGAUCAUUCCCCAUACAUGUGGCUGCAUCAAUCGGUGCAACAUGGGUCAUCGAUGAUUUUCUUAUGAAGUCACCCAAUUGUGUUGGUUUGCUUGAUGCUAGGGGAAGGACAUUUCUUCAUGUUGCAGUUGACAGGAUGAAAAGAGGGACUGUCGAUUAUGUUUGUCGAAACAUAGCGCUAUCAUGGAUUUUGAAUAUGCAAGACAAAGAUGGGAACACUGCACUGCACCUUGCUGUAAGAAAUGGAAGUCUGAGGAUGUUUUGUUCUCUGUUCCGGAAUAGACAAGUACAAAUGAAUUUAAUUAAUGAGAAAGGGAAGACUCCGCUGGAUAUAGUGCAUUACAGUCUUCCAUAA
rnacentral:rRNA from 1 species